rfam:Aspergillus carbonarius ITEM 5010 unplaced genomic scaffold ASPCAscaffold_5, whole genome shotgun sequence.
GGCAAGAUGGCCGAGCGGUCUAAGGCGCUAGGGUCAGGUCACCUGAUCUAACAUGUUCUUCGGAAUAUUCCUAGUCUCGAAAGGGGCGUGGGUUCGAAUCCCACUCUUGUCA